rnacentral:rRNA from 1 species
AUUGAACGCUGGCGGAAUGCUUUACACAUGCAAGUCGAACGGUAGAGGGGGCAACCCCUUGAGAGUGGCGAACGGGUGAGUAAUAUAUCGGAACGUGCCCAGUCGUGGGGAUAACGUAGCGAAAGUUACGCUAAUACCGCAUACGAUCUACGGAUGAAAGCGGGGGAUCGCAAGACCUCGCGCGAUUGGAGCGGCCGAUAUCAGAUUAGGUAGUUGGUGAGGUAAAGGCUCACCAAGCCGACGAUCUGUAGCUGGUCUGAGAGGACGACCAGCCACACUGGGACUGAGACACGGCCCAGACUCCUACGGGAGGCAGCAGUGGGGAAUUUUGGACAAUGGGCGCAAGCCUGAUCCAGCAAUGCCGCGUGCAGGAUGAAGGCCU